AAGGAUUUAAGUUAUACACAAAACUAGAAACCUUCAAAGUUUCAAAAAAAGAAAGGUCUCUUUAAGCCUUA
rnacentral:tRNA from 1 species